GAUGAAUGCUGACAGAAUGCUUAACACAUGCAAGUCUACUUGAACUUCGGUUUGGGUGGCGGACGGGUGAGUAACGCGUAAAGAACUUGCCUCACAGUUAGGGACAACAUUUGGAAACGAAUGCUAAUACCUGAUAUUAUGAUUUUAGGGCAUCCUAGGAUUAUGAAAGCUAUAUGUGCUGUGAGAGAGCUUUGCGUCCCAUUAGCUAGUUGGAGAGGUAACGGCUCACCAAGGCGAUGAUGGGUAGCCGGCCUGAGAGGGUGAACGGCCACAAGGGGACUGAGACACGGCCCUUACUCCUACGGGAGGCAGCAGUGGGGAAUAUUGGACAAUGGACCAAAAGUCUGAUCCAGCAAUUCUGUGUGCACGAUGACGUUUUUCGGAAUGUAAAGUGCUUUCAGUUGGGAAGAAAAAAAUGACGGUACCAACAGAAGAAGUGACGGCUAAAUACGUG
rnacentral:rRNA from 1 species